AGCUCUGCCAGCUCCCGUCGGUUCUUCUCUUUAUAAAUAUCGAUCUGCUCCUGCAGCUCACGAGUGGAUGACUGUGACGCCUCAACAAUACCACUCAUCUGCAGGCAUGGUGAUGGAGGAAGAAGCAGCAGAAGAAAGGAAACAUUCUAGAAGAAGAGAAAUGUGACGGAUGCCUCCCUGCUUCUGUGCUUGCAAGCCUGUCAGACCUGUUCCUAUGUCGCUUCAGAGCCGCCCUCAUCGCUGCUUUGGUUUAAAGAGAAGAGGACGUCAGAGAUAACUACACCACCAGCUUAACAUAUAUCAGUGUUUUAUGUCUUAGUCCAUCAAAACAAAUGAGAAUUAAUGUAAGGCAACAACUGGUAGAAACAAAAUGAGACCUUUAUAUCAAAUGAAUCCAAAUAAAAUACAGUUUUCGGUCA